GUACACACCGCCCGUCACACCAUGGGAGUGGGCUGCUACAGAAGUCGGUGAGCCAACCCGCAAGGGGGCAGCCGCCUAAGAAGUGACUCAUGACUGGGGUGAAGUCGUAACAAGGUAGCCGUAGGUGAACCUGCAGAAGGAUCA
rnacentral:rRNA from 1 species